rnacentral:rRNA from 1 species
GUAGUCUUUGAUAUAAGACCCGAAACUAAGUGAUCUAACCAUGAACAGGCUGAAUUUAAAGCGGUAACGCUUAUUGAAGGGCCGAACUCGUGUAUGUAGAAAAAUACUGAGAUGAUUUGUGGUUAGGGGUGAAAGGCCAAUCAAACUUGCUGAUAGCUGGUUCUCCGCGAAAUCUAUUUAGGUAGAGCGUCGACCGAAUACCCUCGGGGGUAGAGCACUGGAUGGGCU